rnacentral:tRNA from 1 species
GGGCGUGUACCGGAGCGGCGAACGGGGCUGGCUGUAACCCAGCUAUGCGUUGGCAUCACGUAGGUUCGAGUCCUACCACGCCCA